rnacentral:rRNA from 1 species
AUGUAUUCCCUCGCCUCCUUGAUCAACCUCGCCGCCUUGAUCUCCGAAGCCUGCCGCGACGCGGAGAUGCUGCCGGGUGCGCUCAUCUCCUGCGGCGUCCUCGAAGCAGCCGCAGCCCUCUGCCUCGUCAUCUCCAGAGCGCCGGGAGGUAUAUUUCUCCACCAUGGCAGAGCACCCUUCUUCCUGUACUACGGCAUCCUCGUCGCAGUGGUGAUCUUCGGGCUCCUCGAGGCGUCGGCCGGCUUCUGGGUGUCAGGCGAUGUGGUCGGACGGCGUGCCGUCGGGAAGACGGUCCUCUGGCUGGGCCUCCUGCCCAUCGUCUUCGUGGCUGCGCUUGGAGGCUCUGUCAUUCUCAACAAGAAAUAG